CUUGGAAAUAUUUACCGUUAAUUUAAAUGUGACACUUUCAUCUAAAAAGAUAUUGAAAAUAUUAUUUUGUUUAAAAGAUGUUAAAAACAACAGCCUACCUUGUUUUAUUCAAUAUGUUUUUAUUAGAAUUAUUUUCAAAUAAAAUUAUUUUCUUUAUAAAAAAUAAGAUUUGGUCUUCAAAAAGAAUUUUUCCAAAAAUGAGUCUUGAAAGAAGGGGGGUCAUCUUAUAAUCAGGGUCAUCUUAUAUUCGGACCAAUACGGUAAAUGCAUUUAAACAUAUUUGCUGUAAAUC